rnacentral:rRNA from 1 species
CCUACGGGAGGCAGCAGUGAGGAAUAUUGGUCAAUGGACGAGAGUCUGAACCAGCCAAGUAGCGUGAAGGAUGACUGCCCUAUGGGUUGUAAACUUCUUUUAUAAAGGAAUAAAACGAGGCACGCGUGCCUGUUUGCAUGUACUUUAUGAAUAAGGAUCGGCUAACUCCGUGCCAGCAGCCGCGGUAAUACGGAGGAUCCGAGCGUUAUCCGGAUUUAUUGGGUUUAAAGGGUGCGUAGAUGGGUUGUUAAGUCAGUUGUGAAAGCUUGCGGCUCAACCGUAAAAUUGCAAUUGAUACUGGCAGUCUUGAGUACAGUUGAGGUAGGCGGAAUUCGUGGUGUAGCGGUGAAAUGCUUAGAGAUCACGAAGAACCCCGAUUGCGAAGGCAGCUUACUAAGCUGUGACUGACGUUGAUGCACGAAAGUGUGGGUAUCAAACAGGAUUAGAUACCCGUGUAGUC